UGUAUCAGUGAUGACAAACUGGCUCCCUCUACUGAACUCUGUGAGGAAAUGGCCUCUGUUACCCAAUUGUGUCUGAGAUACA
ensembl:snoRNA small nucleolar RNA, C/D box 100